rnacentral:rRNA from 1 species
UUGGAGGGCAAGUCUGGUGCCAGCAGCCGCGGUAAUUCCAGCUCCAAUAGCGUAUAUUAAAGUUGUUGCAGUUAAAAAGCUCGUAGUUGAAUUUCGGGAUCAAUACGUCGGUCGUGCUUAGGUACGUACUGGCGUAAUUGAUUUCUCCCUUCUGACGAACCAUGAUGUCAUUAACUUGGUGUCAUGGGAAAUCAGGACUGUUACUUUGAAAAAUUAGAGUGUUUAAAGCAGGCUCACGCUUGAAUACAUUAGCAUGGAAUAAUGAAAUAGGACGUUCGAUCCUAUUUUGUUGGUUUUUAGGAUCAACGUAAUGAUUAAUAGGGAUAGUUGGGGGCAUUAGUAUUCAAUUGUCAGAGGUGAAAUUCUUGGAUUUAUUGAAGACUAACUACUGCGAAAGCAUUUGCCAAGGAUGUUUUCAUUAAUCAAGAACGAAAGUUAGGGGAUCGAAGACGAUCAGAUACCGUCGUAGUCUUAACCAUAAACUAUGCCGACUAGGGGAUCGGGAUGAUGUUAAUUUUUAAUGACUCAUUCGGGC